AGCCUUUAGAGAGGAUUAAAGGUUAUACCUGCCCAAUGUUAUAUUAAUGGCCGCGGUACUUUGACCGUGCUAAGGUAGCACAAUCAAUUGGCCCUUAAUUAGGGUCAGGCAUGAAUGGAGUUACGGGGCUUAGCUGUCUCUAAACUAUUUAAUUGAAGUUGCUGUAUAGGUGAAAAAGCCUAUAUUAAGAAAAAAGACGAGAAGACCCUUAGAGUUUUACUUAAAAAAGAGUGUUAUUUCUUUACUAGUUUUGUUGGGGCAACAUAGGAGAAGAGUUAAACCUCCUAAAAGAUAUAAACCGAUGUUUUUAAAUAUGGACAAACUACCUUAGGGAUAACAGCAUAAUUUUAAAAGUAAGUUUGUGACCUCGAUGUUGGACUAGGGAACUUAAGGGCUAGCCGCCUUUUGGUAAGGUUCUGUUCGAACUAUAAUUCCU
rnacentral:rRNA from 1 species